CCUACGGGAGGCAGCAGUGAGGAAUAUUGGUCAAUGGCCGCAAGUCUGAACCAGCCAUGCCGCGUGCAGGAAGACUGUCCUAUGAGUUGUAAACUGCUUUUGUCAGGGGGCAAACGCACAUACGCGUAGCUGUCUGAGAGUAUCGGAAGAAUAAGCAUCGGCUAACUCCGUGCCAGCAGCCGCGGUAAUACGGAGGAUUCAAGCGUUAUCCGGAUUUAUUGGGUUUAAAGGGUGCGCAGGCGGGCGGAUAAGUUAGCGGUAAAAUUCCGGGGCUCAACUUCCGCCUGGCGUUUGAUACUGGUCGUCUAGAGUUGAAGAGAGGUAGGCGGAAUGCGUGGUGUAGCGGUGAAAUGCAUAGAUAUCACGCAGAACUCCGAUUGCGAAGGCAGCAUACC
rnacentral:rRNA from 1 species